rnacentral:rRNA from 1 species
UACGUAGGGUGCAAGCGUUAAUCGGAAUUACUGGGCGUAAAGCGUGCGCAGGCGGCUGAGAAAGAAAGAUGUGAAAUCCCAGGGCUUAACCUUGGAACUGCAUUUUUAACUCCUCAGCUAGAGUGUAUUAGAGGGAGGUGGAAUUCCACAUGUAGCAGUGAAAUGCGUAGAUAUGUGGAGGAACACCGAUGGCGAAGGCAGCCUCCUGGGAUAACACUGACGCUCAUGUACGAAAGCGUGGGGAGCAAACAGG